GCCGAAGUGGCGGAAUGGCAGACGCAGUAGACUCAAAAUCUACCGCUCGCAAGAGUGUGCCGGUUCAAGUCCGGCCUUCGGCACCA
rnacentral:tRNA from 1 species